rnacentral:RNase_P_RNA from 4 species
AGAGUCGGCCAGACAGUCGCCGCUUUCUUCGGAAAGGGGAGGAAAGUCCGGACUCCACAGAGCAGGGUGAUGGCUAACGGCCAUCCGUGGCGACACGCGGAACAGGGCCACAGAAAACAAACCGCCGAUGGCCGCCCGGCGCAAGCCGGCGGCUCAGGUAAGGGUGAAACGGUGCGGUAAGAGCGCACCGCGGCGUGCGGCAACGCACACGGCACGGUAACCUCCACCCGGAGCAAUUCCAAAUAGGCAAGCGCGUCCCGCAUGGCUUCGUGCGAUGCGGGACACAACGGGGCUCACGUGAGCUUGCGGGUAGGAAGCUUGAGCGGCGCAGCAAUGCGCCGCCUAGAGGAAUGACUGUCAACCGCGCUUCGGCGCGGGCACAGAAUCCGGCUUAUCGGCCGGCUCUGCCA